rnacentral:tRNA from 1 species
CGCUACGGACUUGAAAAUCCGUUGGCUUUAUUGACCGUGAGGGUUCAAGUCCCUCUACCCCCAA